UGUCUCUCACACACACACACAGACACACGAUAUCAUAUACACUUCUGUGUCAAACACUAGCAAACCUCACCCUCACCAUCCAUGCUAACAGUUACCAUCGAACUUCCACCACCGACAUCGCGGCUCUCGCUACCGCCGCUCAGCAUCACGGCUCUCGCCACCGUCGCUCACCAUCGCGGCCUCCCUCCCAGCCACAUUCAGGUUUCUCUCUCUCUCUCUCUCUUCCUCUAUUUCCCCAUUUCACCAUCUCGGAUCUAGGGUUUUAUUAGGUAGAUAGCAAUUGAUUUAAGAUACUGAACAAUUUAAGAAUAUUAUUAGUAGGUAAGUUAAUGAAAAAUUUUAGGACUCAAUUCGGUGAUGUCCUCUUCGCUUAAUAGGAUUGAAAUUUGCUCUGCAUUCUACAUAUGGGUUUUGACUUUUUUAUUAUUUUUUGAGUUUUAUAUUUCAAAUCCUACUCAAUUUAAGCAAAUGGGUUUCAAUUUGAUUUUUUUUUAUUAUAAAAAAAAUGGUCUUGCUUUGAUUUGGUGGAGGUAGUGAUUUUUGUGAUCCUAAUAGCUAUUCGUGCUCAUGAUUGAAUGAUUUUGAGUUUUUUAUGCAUAACAAAAGCUUGAGUCACUGUGAAAUCUCAUCCUCCUUUUUGUUUUCUGAAUUUCAAUUUGAGGGCUUAGCUGUGUGUAAGUAUUUACCUUCACAGAGAUGUAUGAAUUUGAAUAAUAAAUGAUGUUUCCUUAGCUGGGUAGAAUCUGAUAGGUGGUUUCAUUUUCUUUGAAUUUUUAUAUCCAUAUUUUGUUUGUCUUUUUUUCUUUUUCAUAUAUUAAACCAUACUCAAUUCAAGCAACUGGGUCAGAAUUGAAUUAGAUUUUGUUUUUCUCAAUGAGCUUGGUUUGAAUUAUUAUUAUUUAUUUUUUUGGUGGUUGGUAAUUUCUGAUGCUCUCACUGAUUCUGUUAGAAGUAAUGAAUGGUGUUGGUGUUAAUUUAUUUGUUUUAUUGUGUGCAUAAUUCAUUCAUUUUUAACAUACUGAAUUGAUUUAAAAUUUGUGUGUGCAAUGAAAACCUGGCUCAUUUCUGAUUAAGAAAAAGAAAAGAAAAGAAAAGAAGAAACUUGUGGCACCAUGGGAAAAUUUUAAUGGAUGGUGGAACCAUGUGUUAUCACAAAUUAUCAUGGUGAUUUGGUUGGCAAUAACAUUAUCAACAAUAGAAUCUUGUCCUUUUUGUUUGGUGAAUUUGAUUUUGAGGGAAGUUACUUAGUUGUGUACAAGUGUUUAGGUGUUGCCAUCAUUUGUUUUGGAAUGUCUGAUUUUCUUAAUUCAAGAUUUUUUUAAUAUUAUUAUUGAAUUCAUGUUAAAUUUUUUAUGUGCAUAAAAAGUUUGGGUAAUUUUUGAUUAAGAAAGAUAAAAAAUAAAAUCUGCGGGUAUGUAGCAUCAUGGGAAUCAUUUUAAUGAAUAGGGGGCCUCUGUAAUGCAAAAAUUGGCACGCUGAUUUAGUUGGCAUUGGCAACAAUAGAAUCUUAUGUUUAUUUUAGUUUUGUGAUUUAGUUGGCAUCACAGCUAGGUACACUUACUUGCAUUUCUUCACAGAUGAAAUGGUUUGGAAUAUUUACUUUAUGUUUGCUUUGUAGGUGAGCUAGUUAACGGUCUAAAUAUACUAAAGUUUUACUUGACAUCAAAUUUUCAGAUUAUGUCUUUAACAAAGAUUGUGGUCCAGUUUUGUGAUAAGGUGGCUCCUCCUGGCACUUCUUAGGGAAAUUGAUAAUGAUUAGGGGAAGAGAUUCUAGAGAGAAUUGUCGACGAGUAGGAAUUGGGGUAUGCAAAUUUGCCUGUUUGUUAAGCAAUGAUGGAAAGUGAUAGGACCAACAGUACUCCUUCAGAUGGGGGCACCGAUGGUCUUCAGAGAAUGCGGUCUUUGCAUGGGUACCUUUUAAACCAUAUAGAACGUAGUUAUUGGAAGUGGUUUCUAUGUUUUUAUCUUUAACUUUAUUCUUAAACAAGGAACAAAAUUCCAUUUCAUUUCAAUCAAAAAUGCUGAAGCAUUUCUAUAAACAUUAUUGGAAAAUUGAAAUUCCAGGAAUUGAACACACCAAAACUCAUUGAAACACUACUAAAAAUGGGUUGUUUCGACUCCUAUUACGAAUAUCUAUUAAAAGCUAUUUCUAUUUACCUUUUUUUUGGUUAAACGAAAAUAUUUAGAAUAAAAAACUUAAAUUUAUUAGCGAAUAUGAGAAUGUAGAAAGGAGAAGAUAAGAGAUAAAGAGAUGAAAAGUAAUUGGAUAUGGUGAAGUAACAUAUUUCCUUGUUAUUAGAGAUACCUUUUUUUUAUACAUUCGCUCUUACUUUCUUUUAUUUUUAUUUUUUUCAUCCAUACUAUGUUUUAUCUUAUAAUGGCAAACCUCCUUUCCCAACUAAAUCUUUAAAACUUUUGUUUAUAAACUUCUAAUAUUCGUUGACCUUCAUUGAAUCUUACUCUUAAU